AUGAACGCUGGCGGCGUGCCUAAUACAUGCAAGUCGCGCGAACGGACGAGAAGCUUGCUUCUCUGAUGUUAGCGGCGGACGGGUGAGUAACACGUGGAUAACCUACCUAUAAGACUGGGAUAACUUCGGGAAACCGGAGCUAAUACCGGAUAAUAUUUUGAACCGCAUGGUUCAAAAGUGAAAGACGGUCUUGCUGUCACUUAUAGGUGGAUCCGCGCUGCAUUAGCUAGUUGGUAAGGUAACGGCUUACCAAGGCAACGAUGCAUAGCCGACCUGAGAGGGUGAUCGGCCACACUGGAACUGAGACACGGUCCAGACUCCUACGGGAGGCAGCAGUAGGGAAUCUUCCGCAAUGGGCGAAAGCCUGACGGAGCAACGCCGCGUGAGUGAUGAAGGUCUUCGGAUCGUAAAACUCUGUUAUUAGGGAAGAACAUAUGUGUAAGUAACUGUGCACAUCUUGACGGUACCUAAUCAGAAAGCCACGGCUAACUACGUG
rnacentral:rRNA from 1 species